UAUAUACUCCCUCCGUCCAGAAAUACUUGUGGAGAAAUAGAUGUAUCUGACAUAUUUUAGUUCUAGAUACAUCCAUUUUUAUCUAUUUCUCCAACAAGUAUUUCCGGACGGAGGGAGUACUUU
rfam:Hordeum vulgare subsp. vulgare, WGS project CAJW01000000 data, contig: morex_contig_157549